CCUACGGGAGGCAGCAGUGGGGAAUAUUGCGCAAUGGGCGAAAGCCUGACGCAGCGACGCCGCGUGAGGGAUGAAGGUUUUCGGAUCGUAAACCUCUGUCAGAAGGGAAGAAGUUGCAUGGGGCCAAUCACCUGUGCAUUGACGGUACCUUCAAAGGAAGCACCGGCUAACUCCGUGCCAGCAGCCGCGGUAAUACGGAGGGUGCGAGCGUUAAUCGGAAUUACUGGGCGUAAAGCGCACGUAGGCUGUAUGUCAAGUCAAGGGUGAAAUCCCACGGCUCAACCGUGGAACUGCCUUUGAAACUG
rnacentral:rRNA from 1 species